rnacentral:tRNA from 1 species
GCCCGAUUAGUCAGCUGGAUAGAAUGUCUGCCUACGGAGCAGAUGGUCGUAGGUUCGAAUCCUGCAUCGGGUA